rnacentral:lncRNA from 1 species
CAGGAAGUGACGACCCUCUCUGCCUAAACCCCCUGUGCAGCCAUAUUUAUCUUCUGCUUCCCUUUGUGACCUGUUGCUGUCACAUACCCCUUUGUUCUCAUCCCCCAGGCCAGGGCCACAAUGCCCUCACUAAUACUCCAUUGCCCCCAUAGAGGACAGCCCCACCGUGCCAGGUACUCAAGUGGGUGCCAAAAUAAAAAUUUUUCAAAUGAGAAAAUGUGUGGUUGCUUCCCCUUCCUCACCCCAAAUUCAAAAGAUUCAGCAACUAGGCAGAGUCUACAGGAACGCAAGAUGAUGGGAUAAAUUUGAACCAUUUGAGUACACGGUUUAAAUUUUUUUUUAACCUAGAAUUCGCAGUCUUGGUUCUUAGCCCACUCUUCCAUAAAAUCUCAGUUCAUGCUGACAAUGGAAAUCUUUAGUAAUAACCUCAACCUUUAAUAAUAACAUGAGAGAUUGCUUCUUCUAGGCGCCAUACUAUGUAUCAAACUCCAUUCCAGUUUGAUACUAUUGCAACGCUUCUCAUCUUACAGGUAAAAAAAACCUGAAGUUGUGAAACAUACCUGCAUUUGUAGAACUCGUAGGCAGUGGAGGUAUUAUUUGAAUACAGGUCUUGCUGCUUUUAAAAUCUUCCUUCUGAACCACUACAGAACUUACAAAAAAAGCUUGGGCAAGCCAAAUAAGUUGCAUAAUUAAUUCUGUGUGUGUGUGUGUGUGUGUGUGUGUGUAUGCAUGCAUGUUAUGGAGAAUCCAGGACAACCACUUCAGAAAGGGGCUGGGCUGAGUGGGGGAUUAAAUUAUCCAAGGGGCCACCUCUAUUUCUCCUCCAUCAUGUUUAUACCAACAUCCUGUGUCAGGGAGCCCAAAUAUUUUCUCAAGGCCCCCAGUGUUUGCCCCGUGCCUCUUCUUACCCCCUACCCUGUGAAAUGCCGGGAGAAGAGGGUAGGAUGGAAAGUGUGAGCUUACAUUCCAGGAGCCUAUCAAAGGCCCUCCUCUACUAACCUCUCUACUAUGCAGAAGUACUUUGGAAGCCAUUUACAUCCAUGGGGAACAGGUGCUACUAUACCUCCUGCCUUGCCAUGCCCACAGAGCGAGCCCAGGAAUAAGUAAUUUCCAAGCUGUUACCUGGAAGUCCUGAAAAGGAGCACCUGCUUCCAACUCUCUUUUCUCCCAGCUUGACAUCAGGCCUGAAAUCCUACCUUAGAGAUUCAGUUCUUGAAGAUAAAGGCUAGCUGUUUCUUAACAUACACACACCUGUCUAUCAACUGAUGAAUGGAUAAACAAAAAGUAUAGUAUCCAUACAACAGAAUACUAUUCAGCCAUAAAGAGAAAUAAGGUACUAUUACAUAAUACGCUAGGCUGACACUUGAAAACAUUAUGCUAAGUGAAAGAAGCCAGCCGUAUUGUGCGAAAGGCCACAUAUUGUAUGAUGCUAUUUACAUAAAAUAUCCAGCGCAGGCAAGUCCAUAGAAACAGAAGACAGAUUAGUGGUUGCCAGAGACUGGAAGGAAGGGGAAUGAAGAGUGACUCCUUAAUGGGUACAGGAUUUCCUUUGGGGACAGUGAAAAAGUUCUGGAACUAGAUAGUAAUGGUUACACUGCAUUGUGAAUGUACUUAAUGGCACUGAAUUGUACACUUCAAAAUAGUUACAAUGGCAAAUUUUUUGUAUAUCUUACCACGCACACACACACAAAUGUAUAUACUCUUGUUUGAAAUCAUUGCUGUUGAAAACAAGCAUAGGCUUCAGCUUUGGAAAGAUCCACUGUGAGACCUCGAGCAAGUUACUGAGCUCUCCACUCCCUCAUCUGUAAAAUGGGGGUAGCAGUUGUUGUGAGGAUUAAAUGGGAUAAUACAUGUGAAGUGUUUAGUGUAUUGUCCUACGCAAUAAAUGUUAGCUUCUGUUAGCAUUAGUCCUCAACAGUCCUUUUAACCUCAGUGUAAAUUCCUCCCUGAAAGCAGUGUUUGAUGAGACUGUGUUAAAAUCUUCUGGAGUUAGAGCCACCAUGAGAACACAGGAUGCUCAGUGGGCAAAUGGGACCUCCUUUCAGGCAGAUUCUAAUUGGAAACGCUGUUCACGCCACAAAGAAACAGUACAUGAACCCAACCAGAGGUUACGGGACAGGGAAGAGAGGAGAAAGCUUGAUAUGGGUUGGAGUGUUGAGGGUUUAUUCAAAGCCCAUGGGGAGAAAUUAGGAUACAGAUGGAAAAUAGUAUUUUAGUUAACAGAAAGUGGAAAGAUUCCAUUCCAGAACUCCUGUCCUGGGCCAGAACCCUUUAAAAGCUCUUGACUCUGAAACAGGUGUCAGGCCAGCUCUCAGGGAAAGCCAAAGGGGCAGGUGGAAGGCAAGAGAGAGGAGGGAGGGUGGCUUUCCACACCCUGGCAGUGUGACAUCACCACUACCAACAGGAGACAGCUCAGUGCAGACACUGCCAAACCGGGUGCUUGAUAUUGGUGGUGGCCCCAUCUAAGUUUAUUCUCUCAGAUCCCCCCACCUUCCCUUUCCUCUAAAUGUGAAACAAAAGAAACUAAAUGCCUUGAUGGUAAAUGCAUAGUCAUCAUCCUUUUUAAAAUUAAAGUAUCAAAACAUAAACUUGGCUACAUAAAACAAUUUUUAAUGCAUUUGUGAUAGACCUUCAUUUACACUUACCAUACACAUCAAGUUUUCUUGCCAUAGCCACCAUCCGCCCCCAACUUCCUUCCUCUCUAAUCCAUUGUUGUUCCUGGCAGCUUACAAAUUGUCUUGCGUUUCAUAAUGGCUGGUGGCUGGUGCCUCUACCCAUAACUAGAAGGUAAAUGCAAGGGAUGUUUUCCCCUCCACCAAGAAAAGGAACAUAAAUUAUCCCCUGAAAGAAGUGCUGAAUGGUAUUAACAUCAGAUGGCUCUUGAUGGAUUAGGAAAGACCCCUGAUGUGCAAUUCAGAGAGUAAAAUGAAGACACCUGUGUCUUAAGUGAUCAUUUAAAGGAAACAUACAUGAGGUCAAAGAAGUAGGCACAGAAUUCAUGUGUACGAAUCUGACAUUUAACGAAGACAUUCUUCUCUGAAGAAUGGCACCAGCGGCGAGUGGCCAGUUUUUAUGUCUAGCCUGUGAAUGUUAUAGAGAAGCACAAAAAGCAAGGGGGCCUGGCUCUCUUGCAGGCCAAAGGAAUCAUACGCCCUGGAAAUUCCAGGAAAUUCAGUGGAAUGUCUUUCUUUGAAUUAUCACACCCAUGCUGUCUAAAAUGGUUCUUUCUUCCUCCGGUACCCCUUCCCAUUCUUUUCUGAUAUGUAUUUGCAACAAUGAGACACACGUUUAGACAUGAAACAGAUGUAACUCAAGUGAGUAACUCUCUGAGACGAGUUCUGUGGCAGAAUGUUAGGGGUCAAAGGUUCAAGCUGAACAACAGGUGUAUGUUUUAGGUGUUUGUACAUUCAGAGAAAAUAAUUAAGGUAUCUAGCAAUUCAGUUGUACAUCAAAAUUCUAAACACCAAACUGUUGAUCUAAAGGAUAUAUUUGGUGCCAUGUUUCAGGGUUUGUCAAUGAAAAAUUGAGCAUCAGGUGCCCAAGACUGAGGAACAGGACUGAAAGCCAACUAUCCCAUCUAGUGAUGCCCCAAAGAGCAAAGGAUGACAUCUGGAGAAGUUUAAAGCUAGGCACCCCCCAUAAUGGGGAGGGAAAGGCAGGGAAUCGCUAGGUCUCAGCAACCGACAGAUUUAAAUGAACAGAAACCAGCACAACACAUGUUUACCAUGUCUUGGUUCCAAUAUUUAUUAUUCUGACAGGUUAGGAAUACUAGGAUAAAUAAGUAAUAUUUUCUCUUACAGAAAAUUGUAA